CUACCUUUCGCCUCAAGCCGAGCUGCGGCGUGCCGUGCAGCUGCAACGGUUGAAGGGUCGCGCGCACGUUUAACGAGACACUUCACUUGUUCUGCAGCACGGCGCACCUCGGGAUGACAGUAGUGCAAAGAAGCAGCAGCUCCUCUUUCAGCCUCUCAACACGGCAGUCAUGCUUCACUGAAGAUAAAGAAGAUAUGUCCAUGAGGCGUUAUUAUGAAGACAAAUAAUAAAAGGUUUUCAUUGUGCCAAGUUAACAAAAUGCUUCGAUUUAGUGUGAGUACUUUAGCCCCCUUUCCAAAGGUAAACAAAGGUCGUAUUAUCUGUGUGUGUGUGAAUGGUUGCUGCUGCUAUACAUUCCAGUUUAACCUGAAGCAGACGGCAGGUGAGCUGAAACAUGAGACAACUGUUUGGUCUAGUUCAUACGUGGCGGCUACCUGUCUUUUAAAGAUGACGUAUUGUGCAUUUUGUUUUCCCACAAUGAACAAUAAAUGUUGUUGAAGUAGUAGAGAGUGUAUUUGCGAGCUACUGCAGGGCCGGAACUGGUUAGACGGACGGAUUGAAGCAUGCUAGCCAGACGGGGCGGUUACACACAUAGGCACACUUUCUCUCAAUGAAUUUGACUCUUGCUUUGGGCCUUCGCCACAGAUUGAAGAGGAAAAAAAGUACAAGUGAACAUGGUAAGGAAGAGAACUUGACAACGCGGAUGACGUGACAUGCUGUGCAGAGUUCACCACUGGUGCACUUGUAUAACUCAGACGUCAACUCGACGUUUCUCUAAUCUGGGAUAAUUAGCCUGUUGCAGAGAGACAGAUGCCAACAUCAGAGAUGCCAACACUGUACAGUAUUGCAAUAUUUGGUGGAGUAAAUAAAAAUCUAUGUUCAAAA